rnacentral:tRNA from 1 species
GGCACGGUGGCCAAGUGGUAAGGCAUGGGUCUGCAAAACCCUUAUACGCGGGUUCGAUUCCCGCCCGUGCCU